rnacentral:rRNA from 1 species
CAAUAGCGUAUAUUAAAGUUGUUGCAGUUAAAAAGCUCGUAGUUGGACUUCUGCGGGUGGCGGCCGGUCGUGCCCUUUUGUGGCGUGAACUUGGCUCUUUGCCGCCCGCAUCUUUGGGGAGAUUGUGCGUGGCAUUAGGUUGUCGUGCAUGGGAUUCUCAUCAUUUACUGUGAAAAAAUUAGAGUGUUUAAAGCAGGCCUUUGCCUUGAAUACAUUAGCAUGGAAUAAUAAGAUAGGACCGUUGUCUAUUUUGUUGGUUUACAGAUGUCGGUAAUGAUUAAUAGGGAUAGUUGGGGGUAUUCGUAUUCAGUUGUCAGUGGUGAAAUUCUUGGAUUUUCGGAAGACGCACGACUGCGAAAGCAUUUACCAAGGAUGUUUUCAUUAA